UCGUCCCCGCACCACCCGCUCGUCCGCUCGGCUCUCCCCCGCCUCGCGCAGCCGCUGCUCGCCAACUGGCGCGCCGACGACACCCGUAUCCUUUUUGGUCCUUCGAUCGGUCUAUUCUGCGACAAAGGUCCCAUUCAUCUCUGGCAAAUUCCGCUACAACCUCAAUUGUGUAGGUUGGUCUGCAGCUCAUGUGAGCAGAACUGAAGCACGCUUUAGUCUAUCCAUGAGAAGCUGUUGUCGUCCUCCUCGCUGCCACCGCCAG